CCAGGCCCCUGGGGGCGAGGCUCACUUAUUUUCUUCGCCUUCACGGCCGCCGGGGCUUCUGGGGUCCCCCCUCCCCUGAGGGCGCUGUGUUGGGUCAUGGGUGGGGGGGUGUCAGAAACUCCCCCUGAUCCCCCACAAGUCCCUCGGGCCCUCCCGCCUCCCAUUGGCCGCCGGUUCCGCGCCAGUUUACUGACUGCCUGGACUACAAGCCCCGAAACACCGCGGGGCCCCGUAGAACGCCAUUGGAGCCGGGACUGCGGUUCCCGUCAUGCCCCGCGGCCCCUGAGAGCCCGUCAGAGCCGGGCCUGUUCCCUCACUGCUGUCCCGGCUGCUCCCGAAGUGCUUCCCUGAACCGUAAGUGCCCCUCGGGGCCCUGUAAGUACUCCUAGUUUCUCUCUCCUGACCCUCAAGUGCCCCUCAGGAUCCCUAAGUUCGCCCGCCCCCCCCGCGUCCCCUACUUGGCCUCAAAAUGUGUCCCCUCGGACCCCCAAGUGCUCUCCAGCUGCCUCCCGGACCCCCAAGUGCCUCUCCAGGCCCGUUAGUGAUCCUGCAGGCACCCCCUAACUGCCUCCCAAGAGCCCUUCAAGUGUCUCCUGGGAACUGGCGUGAUGACGACGAUGUAGAGAAAGUCCCUGACCCUAUCGCAGUAUCAGCAACAGUUCAGCCUUUAAUUGAAAUUUGAAUCAAAGCUGCAAUUGCCAAUGUGGGGGAUGGACAAGCCAGGAAAUGGCAGGAUAAACAUUUCCUACAUGUUGCACACAUCAAAAAUUUCAUGGGAGUCGGGAACGGAGUCCGUGUGGUGAACUUCCCUGCCAGGUGGAGAUCAAAUCCUGUCAGGUGCAGAAGAGACUUUGGGGGCCUGGACUAUACACUCCUAUAAACAUCCCCCCCCAAAGCCCAGAGACCCCCCCUCCAUCCCCUGCAGACUCCCCACUAGAUCCCAAAUACCCUUAGUGUCUUCUCAAAACGCUCCAAAGUCCCCUGCCCUGAACACCCUAUAAACCCUCUGGACCCUCCCAAAUUUCCCUCUGAAGCCUCCUGAGGCCAUCUAAAAUAACCCAUAGAUGUGCCCAAAUCCACAGCACUCCCCCACACCCCCCAAAAAAGGGCUACCUCAGGUGGCCACAACUAGUCAUGGACUGCCUGAGCCACUUUUUGGGCUGAUACGUAUGUAGGUAUGGAUAUAAUAGAGAUAUAAAAUACAGUAUAGAAAGGGGCCUCCAGGAGAGCUGGGAGGGUCUUUGUCAGAGGACAGGAUGGAGGGUGAGGGCUAGAUGGGAUAUUGGGAAGAAAUUCCUGCCUGUGAGGGUGGUGAGACCCUGGCACAGGUUGUCCAGAGAAGCUGCAGCUGCUCCAUCUCUGGAAGUGUCCAAGGCCAGUUUGGACAGGGCUUGGAGCAACCUGGGAUAGUGGAAGAUGUCCCUGCCCGUGGCAGGGGAUGGAUCAAGAUGACCUUUGAAGUCCCAUCCAACCCAAACCAGCCUGGGGUUCUAAAAGUGGGGGAGGUUUGGGGUGGGUGACCUUGGCUGACCUCAGGCGCUCCCCCAGGCUGCUCCAUCACUCCCGCUUCAAAGAGACAGAAAGAGAAAACCUGAGGGAAAAGCUCCUGGUGGGGUGUGAGUCCCUCAGAAACUGCUCCAGGUCCUUUUCCAUGGGGUGAGUCCCUCAGGUAGAGGCACUUGGGGCACAGAGGCAAACGUGAGGCAAUCUGCUUCACUCUGUUCUUCUCCAGGGCUGCAGGGGAAUCUCUGCUCUGGCACCUGCAGCACCUCCUCACCUGGGGAGCUGCUCAGAGAGGAGGGACAACAGCAGUGAAAGGGACUUGGCACCAAAGGAGGCAUCAGCAGAGCAAGAAACAUUUCCCAAGCUCUCGCUGGUGUCAGGUGAACUCAAACGUGAGUUCAGGUGGCUUUGGUUUGAACCAGAAAGUGAAUUUAAGACCCUGUGGGAUGCGGCAGGACAGGUGAGGCUCCUCUCUGCCCACCUUUUCCACCUGCUGAGUCCUUCCGAAGGCUGCCAGGGGAGCUUGGACCCACUUCCUUCCCCUCCUCCAUCCAGGAACUGUCCUGUCGUGGAAGGCAAUCAGAUCAGUUCUGUGAUGUAAUUUUAUGGUAAGAGUCCAGUGAGGAACCUUCUCCCUGCUGUUCUUGCUGUUUAACUCAUGCUUUUCUUCCUGCUUUAUUCUCUGUUGCUCUGUCCUGCUCCUUGUGCCAUCACUCCUCUCUCUAUCCCCAUCCUGCUCCCCGUGCCAUCAUUUCCCCUUGUAACUGGCAGAAUUUGCUUUCCCCCAAUUGUCUGUAUUCUGUCAUCACUUGUGAGUUGCUCCUGCUUUCACAGAAUCAGAAAAGCAAUUAGGGCGGAAGGGACCAGUGGGGUCAUCUAGUCAACCUCCCUGCUCAGGCAGGAUCAUCCUGGGGCACAUGGCACAGGACUGUGUCCAGACCUACGGUCCCCUGUAGAUCCAGAUGAGGUUCAGUGCGCGCAGACCAUGUGGUGGAAGUUCCUACUGAGGUGCCGUCACCAUAUAUCAACUCAUUGGCAGUGAUGUCAUGGAAAGGAGGAAAACAAAGAGUGGAUAAUUUGGUUACCAAACUCUGGCAAUAUGAAGAAAGUAGCGCUUUCACUCUAUAGGCCUACAUCUGUGGAAAGGACCUCCAGCAAUUUAAAGGAGACUACCAGCAAUUUAAAGUGCCCCACCAGUACAGACCAGAGUCUAGAGGGAGCAGGUGCCCUCUGCUCAGGAGAGAGGGGGCACACUACGAGGGAACCUGUAGUUUUACCUGCCUGACCAUGGUGAAGACAUGAGGAAGUGGGAAGGAAAACCCAGCUCUGCCUUGCUGCCCCAGGUAUUAUCGCCGACGCCGGAACUUCUGUGCUGGCUCAGAUUUCCGCAACGGACGGUUCUGAGUGGGACACGUCCCCCCGAGCCGAGCUACGGGCGGCGCGUCUCAGAGCUUGUUUGGCUCUACGGCUGGAAUGUCUUUGCUUGGCGCAAGCUGGGAGCAAGGAUUGUGAGAGAGGUCUUCCUUCUACGAUCCAAACAGAUUGAUUCUGCCGAAUUCCCAGCGACAGACAGACCCCGAACGCCGGGCGCAGGAGUUUUUAAACGGACAGGAUCCAAGGGGCAAGUAGCGACUUCCGGCCAAUGGGGGAAGGAGGGAGGAGGAGGGGGAAACACGGGAGAGACUCAAACUAAUGGAAAGCCAGUAAAAGGAAAACAAAUUAUAAGGAUAAAUGAUAUGUCAGAGAUUGGUAGAUACUUCAGGAAAAAGGGCUGGGGUCUGACAGAACUGCCAGCUCUGGGAGAGCAGACAGCUUUUGGGACAAAACCCCAGAUACAGACUAAACAAGGGGGUACAGAACUGUCCCGUAACACUACAACUUGAACAGACGGCAGGGUAUGUGAGUUGAGAGGGAAAAUAAACCACAACAGAAAAGUUUUCAAGGAAAAAUGCAAUUCAGUUUCCACCGGGCAAGUCCUCAGGCAGAAUUAAAGGGCUGAUGUUACUUCUCACCCUCUGGAAGGGACCUGCAGGUCCUGUUGACAAGAAGCGAGCAACGAGUACCGUGAUCAGAGCCAGAGGGGCCCUGGCUCCAGCCAGGUGUGGGAAAAGGACAGUGGGGCCUAUUGCACUGUGUGGAUCCCUGGCCUGGCACAGCAGAGCCACAGGAGCACGAGGCUUUAGGUGACAGUGGUGCACAAUGUACCCUGAUGCCGUCAUGCAGGGGCAGAAUCCAUCCCUGUUUCUGGGGUGACAGGGGGAUCCCAACAGGGACUGUGCUGGAAGCUGAAGUGCUCCUGACAGGGCAUGACUGGCAGAAAAAUUCCUUUGUCAUUGGCCUGGACCCUGCGUGUAUCCUUGGCAUAAAUCACCUCAGGAGAGGUAUUUCAAGGACCCAAAAGGACAUCACUGGACUUUGGGAGAGCUGCUGUGGAGACAGAGGAAAUUAAGACAGCUGAAUCCCUUGCUUGUGUGACAAAUUAAACUAUGAUUUGUGUUAGAGAAAAAUAUAUAUCAUGAUGGGAUUGUGACGUGGGACCAAUACAAAGAUAAAUUUUGAGAAACUGUUAGGUGAAACUAAAGGAAGGAUAACUGAACAAAAUGUUGUGGUUACUAAGCAGAAUGGUUAAGAAAAGAUGUAACUAUAUAAAACUGCAAGCAAGGCAAAACUGCCAUGAAAAGGAACCAGAGGUCAGCAAAGGGUGAAGGAUAAAGACUCCGACCCCCCCCGCCCCCCCCCAGCGACCACCAGAAACAAUGAAAACUAGAAACUGGAUGUCACAAUGAAGAAUAGAAACUAAACCUCAUAAUGGGGAAUAGAAACUGGGAGGGGAUGACUAACGUGAACCUGGAUAAAUACCUGUAAAAUUAACAUUUGGUGUGCAUGUUGGUAGAGCGGUGAUUCCCCUGCACCCAGCACUGUCUUGCCCGCUUUCUGCCAAACACAAAAUUAAUAAAUUGCCUAAUUUGAAAAUGGAAUAAAGGAGUACGUCUCCUCAUUUAUAACACUUGGUCUUUCAGAGGGUCUUUCUGCCGUGGGACUGCUGAGGGUUGAAGAACAGCAGGUGCUGAUGGCCAGCACAACAGUGUCCCACUGGCAACAUGGCACUGACUGGGACUUCAGCACCCCGUCCACGAGCUGAUCCGUGAACCGGAGAGCUGGGUGUGCUCAGCAAGACUUGCAUACCCUUCAGCAGACCCACAUGGCCCCUGCCCGAGUCCCAUGGACAGUGGACACUGACAGUGGACUGUCAUGGCCUGAAUGACGCCCCACCAUGGCUUAGUGCUGCCAUGCUGCACAUGUUGGAACUUCAGUAUGAGCUGGAAUCCGAGACAGCAAAGUGGUGCCGCCAUAGACAUAGUCAAUGCCUUAUUUUCUCUUCCUCUGUCAGCAUAUUCCCCGCUCGGGGGUCCCCUCUUUGGGCCCCCUGCUCUGAGGCUGUCCAAAGUGGGGCCUUAGCCUCCCUGUGGCCCCCUCCCCACCCAAGUGGGCUUAGUGGCCACCUUGCGUAUUGCCUCCUUCAGGUCCUGGGGUCCCUGGAGGGUCCCUGAGGAACACAGGACCACUAGACCAGGAACACAGGACCACCACCAGCUGGCCACAGAGUCCAGGCACCUCCUGCCUCACGGCACAAACAUUGGGGGAUGGUGGAUAAGGGGGAAGGGAAUGGAAGUUCGUUUUCGAGAGAUUGUUCCCCAAGCAAGGCCUGAUGAGCUUGACAUUUCAAUGGACUGGGAGCUGCCAGAGGAUGCUCAAGAGAUAAGUGACGGUCAACACCCAAACAUCCUUCCUGAUGUGUCAGAGACACCUGGUCUGGGAAGAGAUCAAUAAGAGAACAAAGAAUGAGGACCUAAUUAGCAUUGAAGGCAAAGUGUUCAAUAACCAAUAGGAAACCAAAUACAAAGAACUGUGUAACUUGUGAUCAAUGAACAUUGAACCAAUGCAUUUUUCUGGGUUUUGACUGUGUAAAUAUGUAAAAAAUCUAGUAAAUAGCCAUGUGUGAUGGAAUGGUGUUUUCUGCACAAUCCAAGCAAUAUGUGGAUGAAAAUAUUUUUGUUGCAUAUUCUGGCCAGAACAACAUCCUGGCCAGAAUAAAGU